rnacentral:rRNA from 1 species
GACGAACGCUGGCGGCGUGCCUAAUACAUGCAAGUCGAACGCAGUGGGGACGGGUGAGUAACACGUGGGUAACCUCCCAUCAGAGGGGAUAACACUUGGAAACAGGUGCUAAACCGAUAUUGAUGGAUGGACCCGCGGUGCAUUAGCUAGUUGGUGGGGUAACGGCUAACCAAGGCCACGAUGCAUAGCCGACCUGAGAGGGUGAUCGGCCACACUGGGACUGAGACACGGUCCAGACUCCUACGGUAGGCAGCAGUGGGGAAUAUUGCACAAUGGGCGCAAGCCUGAUGCAGCAAUGCCGCGUGUAUGAAGAAGGCCUUCGGGUUGUAAAGUACUUUCAGCGGGGAGGCGUUACCCGCAGAAGAAGCACCGGCUAACUCCGUGCCAGCAGCCGCGGUAAUUC